GCUAGCUCUGAGGGAGUUGGAUCAGUGUCAAGGACUCUCCAUAUCCUGGCAAGCUAUGGAAAACUAAUAAACAUCUUCAGGUAUCCUGGUAGAGAAGAUGACUUGAAGAACCAGCGGCGAGUCCUAAAAGGAACUAGAAAGGAGGAUGUCAGCAAGAGCACCCAGAUCAUUAGGACCGAUGAAAGCAUAGCCUGCCAGGGUCAGAGCUUUCUUGCCUGGGGUUAUGUGGAGCUGUGCAUUGCUCAUUAAUAUAAAGCUUUCAAUCCUAUAUGUUUGGGAAUACAUUUAGGACUAUGUGAAGGAAGCUGGAAGAGAAAAUUAUUUGGACAUUUUCUGGAUUGGAAAGGAUCUUGUCAUUUCUUGGAAUUGUGUUCAACAGAAUGCCCAGCUGUAAAGGAUAAAGAAGACAUCUCAGAAGCUGCAAUCUCUCUCCUGAAAUCCUGUUUCUUCGAAGAAGUCCUUGGGAACAUUAAAAGAUUUUCCAAACGCUUGCAUUUGUAUUUACCUGAUAAAAUCUGAAGUGGCAUACUGUGACCAAUUCUCAACAACUCAAAUCCAAGUUAAUUAGAAUCAGAACUGGACAUUUAUCAUCAUUCUACU